rnacentral:misc_RNA from 1 species
GUGAAUCAUCGAAUUUUUGAACGCAAAUUGCGCUUCCUGGUAUCCCGGGAAGUAUGCCUGUUUGAGGGUCAGUAUUAACAAAAAAUCGGUUUGGUUGCAAAUUGUGACGUUUCCGGAGUUUGGGCUUAUCUUAACUUUUUUGGUUAAGGGGCUUAAAAUUACCCUUUUUUGCGCUUUUUUGGCCUUCCUUAAUUUUUUUUUUUUUCUCUUUUUUUUAUUCCCUAAUCU